AACGGUCAUACCAUGCUGAAUAUACCGGUUCUCGUUAGAUCACCGAAGUCAAGUAUCGUUGGGCGCGGUCAGUACUUGGGUGGGUGACCACCUGGGAACACCGAGUGCCGU
rnacentral:rRNA from 1 species